rnacentral:snRNA from 1 species
AUCCUUACCGUGCCGGGGCCUCGUUGAUAACCGAGGGCAAGCCCCCAGGGCGAGGCCCUGGCAUUGCACUGCGCUCGCGUUUACCCCUGCCACUACCCCAAACUGGUGCAGGAGGGACAAUCAAAUUGCUUAAAUUUUGUUCAAC